GAUGAACGCUAGCGGCAGGCCUAAUACAUGCAAGUCGAGCGGCAAGUCGAGGAGUAAUCUGAGACCUAGAGCGGCGUACGGGUGCGUAACGCGUAUGCAACCUACCUCAUACAGGGGGAUAGCCCGGAGAAAUCUGGAUUAAUACCCCAUGGCACAGCACAAGGGCAUCGGCGAGCUGUUAAAGAUUCAUAGGUAUGAGAUGGGCAUGCGUCUGAUUAGCUAGUUGGCGGUGUAAUGGACCACCAAGGCGACGAUCAGUAGGGGUUCUGAGAGGAAGGUCCCCCACACUGGCACUGAGUUACGGGCCAGACUCCUACGGGAGGCAGCAGUAGGGAAUAUUGGGCAAUGGUCGGAAGACUGACCCAGCCAUGCCGCGUGCAGGAAGAAGGCCUAUUGAGUUGUAAACUGCUUUUAUCUGGGAAGAAAAGGCCCGUGCGCGGGACAUUGCCGGUACCAGAUGAAUAAGCACCGGCUAACUCCGUGCCAGCAGCCGCCGUAAUAC
rnacentral:rRNA from 1 species